rnacentral:rRNA from 1 species
GCGUACCUUUUGUAUAAUGGGUCAGCGACUUAUAUUCUGUAGCAAGGUUAACCGAAUAGGGGAGCCGGAGGGAAACCGAGUCUUAAUUGGGCGUUAAGUUGCAGGGUAUAGACCCGAAACCCGGUGAUCUAGCCAUGGGCAGGUUGAAGGUUGGGUAACACUAACUGGAGGACCGAACCGACUAAUGUUGAAAAAUUAGCGGAUGACCUGUGGCUGGGGGUGAAAGGCCAAUCAAACCGGGAGAUAGCUGGUUCUCCCCGAAAGCUAUUUAGGUAGCGCCUCGUGAACUCAUCUCCGGGGGUAGAGCACUGUUUCGGCUAGGGGGCCAUCCCGGCUUACCAACCCGAUGCAAACUGCGAAUACCGGAGAAUGUUAUCACGGGAGACACACGGCGGGUGCUAACGUCCGUCGUGAAGAGGGAAACAACCCAGACCGCCAGCUAAGGUCCCAAAGUCAUGGUUAAGUGGGAAACGAUGUGGGAAGGCCCAGACAGCCAGGAUGUUGGCUUAGAAGCAGCCAUCAUUUAAAGAAAGCGUAAUAGCUCACUGGUCGAGUCGGCCUGCGCGGAAGAUGUAACGGGGCUAAACCAU